AACGGUAACAGGCCGCAAGGNGUUGACGAGUGGCNAACGGGUGAGUAAUGCAUCGGAACGUGCCCAGUCGUGGGGGAUAACUGCUCGAAAGAGCAGCUAAUACCGCAUACGAUCUAUGGAUGAAAGCGGGGGACCGUAAGGNCUCGCGCGAUUGGAGCGGCCGAUGUCAGAUUAGGUAGUUGGUGGGGUAAAGGCUCACCAAGCCAACGAUCUGUAGCUGGUCUGAGAGGACGACCAGCCACACUGGGACUGAGACACGGCCCAGACUCCUACGGGAGGCAGCAGUGGGGAAUUUUGGACAAUGGGGGCAACCCUGAUCCAGCAAU
rnacentral:rRNA from 1 species